rnacentral:lncRNA from 1 species
AGAGAGGCUGAGAAAAGCAGUCUGUGUUUUCAGGGAGAAGGGGAGACUAAAUUAUGAUGGACAAUUAGCAGUCUGCCAAAAUGAUCUUGUUCCUCACUUUGCUGAGAAAAUAGAAGCAACUGGAAGAGAACUACUUUCUCCCACUGUCCAAUCUAUCUACUUAUCUCGACAUGUCCCAUAUACGUGGGAACUGGGGAAGAGGGGAUGGAUCCCUAGACUAACCUUGACCAGAAAGGGGAUCUUUCUUCCCAGGCUUUCAAUGAGAACAAUGUGGUCUUAAAGACCCUACUACCUAAUCACAAAGUGCAAACAUACCUUCUUUCCUUGUGCUUUUCAACCUCUGUGGUUUUGGAUAUUGUUGAGCAACACUCCUUCCAGCCCCGUUUUUGUGAAAGUCCAAUUUACCUUGUCUUGAUGAUUCUGCAUUACCCUAUUCUCCUCCCAUUUUCUGCUCCACCCCCUUUCUUUGCUGGCUUGGCUCACCUAGAUCAGAGCUUCUCAAACUUUUUGAUGUGGCACAAAUCUCUUCGGGUUCUUGUUAAGUUGAAGAUGCUGGUUCAGCAGGUCUGGGGUGGAGCCUGAGAUUCUGAGUUUCCAACUAAGGUCCUCAUGUCAGUGCUGCUGGGCCACUGACCACGUUUUGAGCAGCGAGACUCUGAAGAGGGUGUUUUCCAAGAUUCUGACUUUGUUUUCUUCUUUUAUCUCACAGCAAUAUCACUCCUAGGCUGAUUAUCUAUGAGUCUAUUUUCUAGCUCAGUCCUCUUUCCCAUAUUACAAAACCUUUAUUUCUAACUUAUUAGUGUCCAUGUCCGUCUGGCUGUCUUGACAACCCUUUGAAUUCUUAAAAUGUCUAAAUCUAAACUGAUCUUCUCUCAAGAAGUAGCUCCUUCUCCUUUCCUUUGUAAUUGUCUCUUUUCUCUCUUGCAAUUAUCUAGAAACUCAAAACCUCCACUUUCUUUGAUUUCUCUCUUCCUACCCACAAUUAAUCAAUCAGUUAGCAAAUUCUAUAGAUUCUGCAUGCACAUCAUCUCUCAACUAUGCUCUUUAAAUUCCCCUGGCUGUCCCUUUAGGUCAGACUCAUCAUUACCUUUUACCUGGCCUACAGUAGAUCUGUCAGUUUUUCCACCUCUGAUUUCUGCUUCCCUUCACAGAUAAAUCACUAGCAUAAAGAAAAAAAAAACCUUCCUUUUCUUCCCCCAAACUUCUGAACCAUAAAAACUCAAAAUACUGAAUUAAAUAUAAAUUCAUCCAUUUGGUAUCUUAGGCCCCAUACUCCUUUGUCUUUUCUACCUCUCAACAUACCUGGAGUCUUUGCUCUUUCCCCAACACAACUUUCACUGAUUCGCCUUCAUAUAUAUUCUCAUGCUAUCCCUUCUUGCUGUAAAACUCUCCCUGUCUCCUUCAAGGUCAAUCCCAAAUGCCUACUCCUUCAUGCUGCGUUUCUUUCCUUAUCCCCAAGACAGAUAUACACGGUUCUUUGAUUCCCGGCAGUACUCUGCCACUUUUCACGUGGCACCUAUCAUGGUUUGUCUUUUAUUGUCUGUUUUAUCUUUGUUUCAUUCCUUACUUCUUUGAAGGCAAAGGUAUCUUCAACUCCCCUCUAACUCUGAAGCAUCUUACCUGUGGGGCGUCUAAUAUUAGUUGAAUCAGGGGGAUUUAUGGAGAUAAUGGGAUGCGCUGGAAGCCAGUACAGCUGGGUGCCGGCUCUGCCGUUUAUUAGCUGUGAGGUUUUGGGUAAGUCACUUAACUUCGCCUGUAAAAUUAGUCCACUACGACCUGAUGGAGAACCAAGGGAGAUAACGUCAAAGCGCCCUGCAACUCUACAGGGAACUGAGCAAUGUUAGUUAUUUUCCUUACAGAGAUCUGAUGCACUCUUGCUACUGGAAUCUUGACUUGCAGGACCAUCCCUACUUCAUUGCCUGGAGGUCGAACCCCAAGUUGCAGGGAACCCAAGCUACCAGGUCCCACUGCCCUUUUCCACUCCAGGGACCUCUAACUGCUCUCCGCGACGCAGGUGAUCCUGCCUUGCUGCGGGGGAGUGGCCUGGAGUCUCAUUCCCUCGGGAGGCCUCCCUCCUUCCACCCGCUUGAGGAGAGCCCUUCUCUUCCCUGUGACCCCGAAGACCGUGGCGCCGCCGCCCACGUGAGGCGUUUGGACCCUGCCCGGCCCCCGUAGCUCCCUUUCUCCAGCAGGUGGUUCUGGUCCUCUCCCCCAACUCGGGCGCUCACGUCACCGGCGAACCUCUAACCAGCGCCAGCGCCGCUACCAACCGGGAAAAUAAACAAACCCCCGCGCUCGGCGGACGCGCCAGGCCCCGCCCCCGCCCCGAGGCUCUCACGCCGCCCCCUCCGCCCGGGCUUCCCGCUACCCUCCGCCCGCCUGCUCGCAGCUGCGCUCUUCCCGCCCCUCACCGCGGCCUGCAGCCGCGCUCACCGCCGCAGUCCGCCCCGGCGCCCCGGGACCCGUUAGUGCCCAGCCUGUGGGCCGACCGCGACCCCCGCCCGGCGCGAGCCUGCCCCCAGCUCUGCCGACACUUGACCCAGACCAGUCCCAACGCCCAGUGCGGCCGCCUGGGGAGCCGCGGGAGAGGCGGCGGCGGGGGGAGGAGGGAGAGGAGGGCCGAGCCGGCGGCCCGGGAGGCCCGGUUUUGAAGCCGCUUCUCUGGCCGAGUUAGGUUUCGCCCAGCGCAAUUUCUUUCUCUAUGUACUUUGCGAAUAAGUUUCGGAGCAUCGGUUAACAGCCUAUGGGUGAAAUUUGGCUUUCAUUCAUGAAUGAGGAAUCCAGAUCUUACAUAAGAUGGAAGUCUCUCACACUAGAUACUGAACAUUAAAUAGAAAAUCUAUUUAGUAAAAUCUAAGUUGCCAAGGAAGAAAUACCAGUAAAAGUUGCUGUAAGAAUUAGACCUCUGCUUUGCAAAGAAGUUCUUCAUAAUCACCAAGUUUGUGUGAGAGUUAUUCCAAACAGCCAGCAAGUUAUCAUUGGGAGAGAUAGAGUCUUCACUUUUGAUUUUGUUUUUGGCAAAAAUUCCACUCAAGAUGAAGUUUAUAACACAUGUAUAAAGCCCCUAGUGUUGUCACUCAUUGAGGGCUGUAAUGCAACUGUUUUUGCCUAUGGACAAACUGGAUCUGGGAAGACAUACACCAUUGGAGGGGGCCAUAUUGCUUCAGUUGUGGAGGGCCAAAAGGGUAUCAUUCUUCGAGCUAUUCAAGAAAUAUUUCAAAGCAUCUCUGAACAUCCUAGCAUUGACUUUAAUGUGAAAGUAUCUUAUAUAGAAGUGUACAAGGAAGACCUAAGAGAUCUUCUAGAAUUGGAGACAUCCAUGAAAGAUCUUCACAUCCGAAAAGAUGAAAAAGGAAACACAGUGUGUGCUUGCUGCUGAUGAAGUAGUAUUUAAUCAGAAGGAACUGGAGGUUAAGGAACUGAAGAAUCAAGUGCAGAUGAUGGUACAGGAAAACAAAGGGCAUGCUGUAUCUUUGAAAGAAGCGCAAAAAGUGAAUAGACUGCAGAAUGAAAAAAUAAUAGAACAACAACUUCUUGUGGAUCAACUGAGUGAAGAACUAACAAAACUUAACCUGUCAGUGACUUCUUCAGCUAAAGAAAAUUGUGGAGACGGGCCAGAUGCCAGGAUCCCUGAAAAGAGACCAUAUACUGUACCAUUUGAUACUCAUUUGGGGCAUUAUAUUUAUAUCCCAUCAAGACAAGAUUCCAGGAGGGGGAAUCACUUGCAAGGUCCACACAAGUCCGCCUAUGUACUCUCUGGAUCGAAUAUUUGCUGGAUUUCGAACACAAAGUCAGAUGCUGUUGGAUCACGUAGAAGAACGAGAUGAGGUCCUCCACUGCCAAUUUUCUGAUAACAGUGAUGAUGAAGAAUCAGAAGGCCAAGAGAAAUCUGGAACUAGAUGUAGAAGUCGUUCAUGGAUUCAGAAGCCAGACUCUGUUCCCUUGUUGAAUUGAGUGAUACUCAGGAUGAAACACAAAAGUCAGAUUCGGAGAAUGAAGAUUUAAAGAUUGAUUGUCUCCAGGAGAGUCAAGAAUUGAAUUUGCAAAAAUUAAAGAAUUCAGAACGCAUACUUACUGAAGCCAAACAAAAAAUGAGAGAACUUACAGUUAACAUCAAGAUGAAGGAAGAUCUGAUUAAAGAAUUAAUAAAAACAGGUAACGAUGCCAAGUCUGUAAGCAAGCAGUAUACUUUGAAAGUAACAAAGCUAGAGCAUGAUGCAGAACAGGCAAAAGUCGAACUAACUGAAACACAAAAGCAGCUACAGGAGCUGGAAAACAAAGAUCUUUCUGAUGUUGCAAUGAAGGUAAAAUUACAGAAAGAGUUUCGUAAAAAGGUGGAUGCUGCAAAGCUGAGAGUUCAGGUCUUACAGAAGAAGCAACAAGAUAGUAAGAAACUGGCAUCACUGUCAAUCCAAAAUGAGAAACGUGCUAAUGAACUAGAGCAGAGUGUAGAUCACAUGAAAUAUCAAAAGAUACAGCUACAAAGAAAACUACAAGAAGAAAAUGAAAAAAGGAAGCAACUGGAUGCAGUAAUUAAGCGGGACCAGCAAAAAAUCAAAGUAAUAUUGUCAUACAUUCCUGCUAAGUAUAAUAUGAAAUGUUAAACGGCUCAGAGCUAACGAAUCCAUGGUCUUCAUUCAGUUGGCUUGUGAAGUAUCUAUCCUUGACUUGCCCUUCACUGCUGUCCUUAUUCACUUUAAAGCUUUGUUCAUCUACAUAGUAAAAC